rnacentral:rRNA from 1 species
UACAGAGGGUGCGAGCGUUGUCCGGAAUCACUGGGCGUAAAGGGCGCGUAGGCGGCUCGGUAAGCGUGCGGUGAAAGCCCGGGGCUCAACCCCGGGUCGGCCGUGCGAACUGCAGAGCUGGAGCACUGUAGAGGCAGGUGGAAUUCCGGGUGUAGCGGUGGAAUGCGUAGAGAUCCGGAAGAACACCGGUGGCGAAGGCGGCCUGCUGGGCAGUAGCUGACGCUGAGGCGCGACAGCGUGGGGAGCAAACAGG